rnacentral:lncRNA from 1 species
UUGGAGGGUGAAGGUUAACGUUGAAUUUUUUGAGAAUAGUAAAAUCUGCCAUAGAGUUGGAAGCUCGGGAAUUGGAGUUGUUUCCAGCAAAAGAAGUAUUUGAAAUGAUAGAGGCGAUAGAACUUUUCCAGUGAAUCUUGUUGUUUUGGAAUCUUAGCUGGUUUCUUGCAUACCAAAUGGAGUUGAUGAGAUUGAUUAGGGCAGAAGUGACCACUAAUUUACACUGAGGGUUCCACGGUUUAUCACAAACUGUCCAGAUAUCUUCAAUGUGUUGGAAAUGCAGAGGGAAGUUGAACAUGCUAGCUAACCAGCACCAAAGCCUGAUUGCAUAAGAGCAUUGGAAAAAUAGAUGGAAUGUGGAUUCUUCAUGAAUGGAGC